CUCCCGGGGCCCCUGCUGGGGGACGCACAGGGUGCUGACCGAGGUCAGAAAUGAACUGGCUCCAUCUCUGGGCCUUCAUCCUGCUCCCAGUCAGCUUCCGGGUCAGCACGGCCCCUUCCCCCUCUGGCCAGGGGGGCUGAAAGGUGAGGGGGGAGGUUGUCCCCUUCAGGCCACCCCCCCACCCCGCAGGCCAGCGCAGCCCCCGGAAAGACCACGGGAGCCGCUGGAGCAAGUUGGAACUUUGACUUUCCAGGAGUCCCUUCUUAAAAAAAUGAAGGAAAAGCAAAUCCAAGUUACUUAACCCAAUAUGCUCCAAAUAUGCUUUCUAUAUAUGAUCAAGAUAAAGAAUUAUUGAGACGUGUUCCUUUCUUUUUUUUUUUUAAUACUAUGUCUUCCAGAUCCAGUGUGUGUUUUACACUGACCACCCUCAGUGUGGAACAGCUGUGGGUCCACUGCCCAGUAGCCACGUGGCCAGCAGCUGCUGUACUGGACUGCACGGCUCUGGAUGUGAAGCCCCUGAGAGUCAGGACUGUGAUGAGACCCACCAUUAUGAUCUCCAGGGUCUGGAGCCCACGGGGUGCCACGUGACUGACAGGUGCUGUCCUGGCCUUCAUGGCAGAGUGCUCCGCAGCGCACCUGAGGUGAGGGGACGGGCUGCUGGCUCUGAAGUCCUCUCUGGAGCCGGGCACCUGGAGGCCGUGAACUCAGAGUCGCGUUGGUUGGCGGCGGCAGGACGACUGUGUGGAUCCGCCUUUUCUGAUCUGAAGAGCUCUUCAGAAUCCCAGGUGGCUUCGGAGACCAUGAAGCUCUCUGUGAGGACUUUGGAGACUGUUGAGAGCCGUGCACGUCGGGAUCAAGUGGCCUUUCAAAGACGUGGGCGAGAAGCGGGGUGGGCGAGGGGAGAGGGGGACACAGCCCCUCCCUGUGCCCUGUCCCCUCCCAGGCCAGCCUUGCCCAGAGAUUCUGCAGAUUCCUGCGAUUCUGCUCCGGGCCAGAGCGGCCUCUGCGCUGACUCAGCGCAGCCCCGGAUGGCGAUGGCCGGAGCUGCCCGGCUUCCUCGCACUCACGCCUGGUUUUCUUUCUGCCACAAAAGCCAUGAACUUGACAUCCUUUGAAGAUUUCCUUACUGGGCUGAGGGGGCGGGGAGCUCCAGGCCUCUGGUGACCUUGGGGCUGCUCUGGGGACCUCCCCACCAAGGACGGAUCGCAGGGUGCCAGGGCUGAGGGCAGGUGGGGGCCACUGCCUCGGAGCCACUAUGGGGCCAGCGCAGGGAAGGCCCGGCUUCCAACGCCACCUUCUCAUCCGUGACCGUGGGCCAGUUCUUUUCCCUCUCUAAGCCUGAGUCGCUUGACUGUCACAUGGGGUCAGUGAUGCUCAUCUUGUGUUUGCGUCAUUCAGUGGCUUGGUAUGCAGGCAAGUUCUGUCCCUGUGUCCUCCCACAGGCCUGAGGGCCUUCUAAUAAGGGAGAGGUGAAGGGCAAGGCAGCUCCCGCAGGGUAGGGAUUAUGAGCACGGGUUUCCGAAUUAGGAAGAUCUGAGUUUGAAUCUUGCCUCUGCCACAUACCAGCUGUGUGUUUUUAGGCAAGUCACAUUCCCUCUCUGAGCCUCAAUAUCCUCUGCUAUAAAACUGGCACAAUAAUAUAGUCUCUACCUCAUCUAAUGUUGGCAGGAGGACUGGGGAUGUGGCUCAGUGGUAGAGUGCUUGCCUGGCAUGUGCAAGGCCCUGGGCCCAGUUCCCAGCACCACAAACAGAACAAAACCAGAAAUGUCUGCAAGGGUCCAGAGACAUGGUCCUAUGGCAGGUGGGACAGGAAGCCUGGGAGCUGCUCAAGGAGUGGCGCCCACUCCCCUCCCCAAACUGCAGCCCUGGGUGCCCCGGUGCCUGGUCACAUUUGCAGGUGUUAGAUAAAAGCGUCUGGGCCAGUCCGCACCCUGCACCCGGGGCCUCUUCCACCCCCCUUGAACUUCUCUGGUACAGUCCCCCUCCUUGUCCCUGCCCGGCCCAUGUCUCUGUGUGCUGAUGACCCCGCUCCUGUUGGGACUCAGCUCCUUUGAGCCCCUCCCUAUAACCAUGCACAAGCACCCUUUUCACAGGGAGGAGAAUCUACACUGUAGGCACACAAGUGAGUUGAACAAGCCCCGUCAGGAUUGUCACUGCUGUGCAGUCUGCCUGCCCUCUGAGCGCAUCCCUGGCUUGCUCCAUCCUACCAUCACUAGUCCAUAGAUUCCCUGGGGGCCAGGGCUAUGGCCUUCAUUCACUGUGUCCCAGCACCCAGCACAGUACCUGGCCCACAGUGGGUAGCUCGGAACUACCAAACACAGGGUGAGUAAAUGAAUAAAUGAGAGGGAAAGAGAUCACUGAGGCAGGAGUGGACUGCAUGGCUGUCCAGCACCCUCAGCUGUCAAAGGUCAGUUGUGGGCCAUGGGAACUAUAUGAGUCAGCUUCUUGUUACUGUAAUGGAAUGCCUGAGGCAGUCUAACUUUACAAAGAAUAAAGGUCUAUUUGGCUUCCA